CUACUCCUUCUUCCUGUUCCUCUUCAGUCAGCUCCUCCUCCAGAACUGCUCUUCACAACAGUAUUCAAGAAUAAAUAAUAGUAAUAAUUUAGCUUGGAGUUGUUUUGUAAUAUUGAUAUUAAGCACAUUAAUAUUCAAAAUGGACACCAAGAAGUUUGUGAUUUAGUUUGUAAUAUAAAGGACAAAAUAUCAGAGUUCACAGGAAUGUUUUCCUCUCAGUGGUUGACACAUUUGACCCAGUUAGCCUGCAGAUUCAGAAUCAAGGAAACAGAAAAGGAUGCAACAGAGUGGAGAAAAUAAAAGCCCCAGUAAUAGAAUUCAGCUCCUAACUGACACAGUGCCAUUGGAAAUGGAACAUCCAAAGCUUAAUAAGGUCAGUGGUUGCUGCAGCAGUGUGGUGGAACAGACAGCAGCUGCCUGCUGUGGAGAGUCUGUGGGCAUUGACACUGAAGGCUGCUCUGGAGAACCAGCACUGGGACAUGGUUCCUGAUCUUCCACAUCCAUCCACAGUGAGACCCACAGCACUAAAGUUAGAUGACCUGCGGUGGUGUGACCUCAGUGAAGAGGUUCUUCCUUUCCCCAUACCCUCUCCACCUCCUCGGAGGACUUCGUGGAGUCCAGAUCCUCUCAGGCUCAGCUCCUACCAGCAGGACCUUUCAGUAAAGAUCAAACCUGUACCAGACUCACCUGACAGACGGCCGUCCUUUCACAGCAAGCAGGGUCAUAAUGGCAAGACAACAUCCCUUCAAGCCCUCGCAGAAAAAUCACAGCCACCCUUCCACAGCUGGGAGGGGGAGGCAUCACCAGUGGGACCCUCAGGUGUUGGGGGUGGACAGCAAGACAAAGAGACUGGACCAGUCAACAGACAGCUUCUCACAGACCAGGUGACGAUGUCUGACCGGCGAGUUCCUCUGCAGAAGAAGUUUAAAAAUAAAGAGGAGAUGCAGAGGAGUGUGAGAGGAGAUAGAGAAGCAGGAACAGGAGGAGGAGGAGGGCUGAAGAGCUGCCCGAUGUGCCUGCAGGAGUACCCUGUUGGGUUCACCCAGAUGGACUGUGACGGCCACCUGGCCCAGUGUCUGUCGGAGGUCAAUGUGGAUGUGACCUGGUGA
rnacentral:lncRNA from 1 species